AAUUCUCAACCAUGUCUUGAUUGACACGGCUUGGACUUGGGGGUUGCUGGCUGCGAAAGCAGUCGGCUCUCCUGAAAUGCAUUAGCGGCGGACAAAGCUUAGUCUGACGUGCACGGCCUCGACGUGAUAAUGAUCGUCGUCGCUGGAGCGUAGGACGAGCACGAAUAAAGUCUGUUUGCUUCCAAUCUUGGCUUUAGCUACUAGUUGGUGACGACGAACGCGGGCCUUUCUCAUG
rnacentral:misc_RNA from 1 species